rnacentral:rRNA from 1 species
GACGAACGCUGGCGGCGUGCCUAAUACAUGCAAGUCGAGCGAAUUGAAGGGAGCUUGCUCCCUGAUAUUAGCGGCGGACGGGUGAGUAACACGUGGGCAACCUGCCCUGCAGAUGGGGAUAACUCCGGGAAACCGGGGCUAAUACCGAAUAAUCAGUUCUUCCGCAUGGAAGAACUCUGAAAGACGGCUAUGCUGUCACUGCAGGAUGGGCCCGCGGCGCAUUAGCUAGUUGGUGAGGUAAUGGCUUACCAAGGCGACGAUGCGUAGCCGACCUGAGAGGGUGAUCGGCCACACUGGGACUGAGACACGGCCCAGACUCCUACGGGAGGCAGCAGUAGGGAAUCUUCCACAAUGGACGAAAGUCUGAUGGAGCAACGCCGCGUGAGCGAAGAAGGUUUUCGGAUCGUAAAGCUCUGUUGUGAGGGAAGAACAAGUAUAGGAGUAACUGCCUGUACCUUGACGGUACCUCAUUAGAAAGCCACGGCUAACUACGUGC